UUAUGGAAAUCGCAAAGGGUAAUAGACUAAUAGUCACCUAAUCAUCAAGCACAAUUGGACCAACUGGUUUUUUUGGGUUUCACUUAAUCAUCAAUCUAUUUCAAGUGAAGCCGAUGAGGAACUGCUUGAGUGAAAGAAAAAUCGAAUCAAAUUGAAAUCAAAGUGUCAAAGCUUCCGUAGAAGCAGGUGGAGUUUGAAAAAAAUGAUGGGAAAACGAAUCACUUACUGAAUUCUGGUACACCAAAAGAUUCAGAGGAAACUUUUGGUGAUAAAUGAGAUUCUUAGCAUCACAGGAGGAAAACAAGAGAUUUUUACUCAUUGAGGUUAUAAUUCUCAAAGACUUUAAAGUGUCAAUUAUAUAUCAGCUCUAUUUAGCAGAGGUAUUGGAUUAUGUGGCUGGUCGACAGCUUAAGAAAGAUGAUGAAGUGUGGCUGGUAUGUCGGGAGAGCAGUUUAGAGCACCAGAUGAUGUGGUAUUUUCAGAUUGUGUGGAUUUAACUUGUAGAGUUAUAGUUUGAUUGGUUGAUGUAAUGGGAUUUGGAC
rnacentral:lncRNA from 1 species